rnacentral:rRNA from 1 species
AUUCAUCUCCGGGGGUAGAGCACUGUUUCGGCAAGGGGGUCAUCCCGACUUACCAACCCGAUGCAAACUACGAAUACCGGAGAAUGUUAUCACGGGAGACACACGGCGGGGGCUAACGUCCGUCGUGAAGAGGGAAACAACCCAGACCGCCAGCUAAGGUCCCAAAGUCAUGGUUAAGUGGGAAACGAUGUGGGAAGGCCCAGACAGCCAGGAUGUUGGCUUAGAAGCAGCCAUCAUUUAAAGAAAGCGUAAUAGCUCACUGGUCGAGUCGGCCUGCGCGGAAGAUGUAACGGGGCUAAACCAUGCACCGAAGCUGCGGCAGCGACGCUUAUGCGUUGUUGGGUAGGGGAGCGUUCUGUAAGCCUG